AUUUUUUAAGUGUUAAUUGCACGUUAGGUUUUGAACUUAAAAGUCCUCCUUUAAUUU
rnacentral:tRNA from 1 species